rnacentral:rRNA from 1 species
UAAGCACAAGCGGUAGGAGAGCGUUCUAUUUGCGCCGAAGGUAUACCGGUAAGGAGUGCUGGAGCGGAUAGAAGUGAGCAUGCAGGCAUGAGUAGCGAUAAUUAAUGUGAGAAUCAUUAACGCCGUAAACCCAAGGUUUCCUACGCGAUGCUCGUCAUCGUAGGGUUAGUCGGGUCCUAAGCUGAGUCCGAAAGGGGUAAGCGAUGGCAAAUAGGUUAAUAUUCCUAUACCAACAUUAGUGUGCGAUGGAAGGACGCUUAGGGCUAAGGGGGCUAGCGGAUGGAAGUGCUAGUCUAAGGUUGUAGGAGCUUAUACAGGCAAAUCCGUAUAAGAAUACUCCGAGAGCUGAAAGGCUUUUUGAAGUCUUCGGAUGGAUAGAAGAACCCCUGAUGCCGUCGAGCCAAGAAAAGUUUCUAAGUUUAGCUAAUGUUGCCCGUACCGUAAACCGACACAGGUGGGUGGGAUGAGUAUUCUAAGGCGCGUGGAAGAACUCUCUUUAAGGAACUCUGCAAAAUAGCACCGUAUCUUCGGUAUAAGGUGUGCCUCCCUUUGUAUUAGAAUUUACUUCGAAAGCAAAGAAGGUUACAACAAAGAGUCCCUCCCGACUGUUUACCAAAAACACAGCACUCUGCUAACUCGCAAGAGGAUGUAUAGGGUGUGACGCCUGCCCGGUGCUCGAAGGUUAAUUGAUGGGGUUAGCAUUAGCGAAGCUCUUGAUCGAAGCCCGAGUAAACGGCGGCCGUAACUAUAACGGUCCUAAGGUAGCGAAAUUCCUUGUCGGUUAAAUACCGACCUGCAUGAAUGGCGUAACGAGAUGGGAGCUGUCUCAAAGAGGGAUCCAGUGAAAUUGUAGUGGAGGUGAAAAUUCCUCCUACCCGCGGCAAGACGGAAAGACCCCGUGGACCUUUACUACAGCUUGACACUGCUACUUGGAUAAGAAUGUGCAGGAUAGGUGGGAGGCUUUGAGUAUAUGACGCCAGUUGUAUAUGAGCCAUUGUUGAGAUACCACUCUUUCUUAUUUGGGUAGCUAACCAGCUUGAGUUAUCCUCAAGUGGGACAAUGUCUGGUGGGUAGUUUGACUGGGGCGGUCGCCUCCCAAAUAAUAACGGAGGCUUACAAAGGUUGGCUCAAAACGGUUGGAAAUCGUUUGUAGAGUAUAAAGGUAUAAGCCAGCUUAACUGCAAGACAUACAAGUCAAGCAGGGACGAAAGUCGGUCUUAGUGAUCCGGUGGUUCUGUGUGGAAGGGCCAUCGCUCAAAGGAUAAAAGGUACCCCGGGGAUAACAGGCUGAUCUCCCCCAAGAGCUCACAUCGACGGGGAGGUUUGGCACCUCGAUGUCGGCUCAUCGCAUCCUGGGGCUGGAGCAGGUCCCAAGGGUAUGGCUGUUCGCCAUUUAAAGCGGUACGCGAGCUGGGUUCAGAACGUCGUGAGACAGUUCGGUCCCUAUCUGCCGUGGGCGUAAGAAGAUUGAAGAGAUUUGACCCUAGUACGAGAGGACCGGGUUGAACAAACCACUGGUGUAGCUGUUGUUCUGCCAAGAGCAUCGCAGCGUAGCUAAGUUUGGAAAGGAUAAACGCUGAAAGCAUCUAAGCGUGAAGCCAACUCUAAGAUGAAUCUUCUCUAAGCUCUCUAGAAGACGACUAGUUUGAUAGGCUGGGUGUGUAAUAGAUGAAAGUCUUUUAGCUGACCAGUACUAAUAGAGCGUUUGGCUUACUUUUAUAAAGCAU